rnacentral:rRNA from 1 species
UACGGGGGGGGCAAGCGUUGUUCGGAAUUACUGGGCGUAAAGGGUUCGUAGGUGGCCUACUAAGUCAGACGUGAAAUCCCUCAGCUUAACUGGGGAACUGCGUCUGAUACUGGGGGGCUUGAGGACAGGAGAGGAACGCGGAAUUCCAGGUGUAGCGGUGAAAUGCGUAGAUAUCUGGAGGAACACCGGUGGCGAAGGCGGCGUUCUGGACUGUUUCUGACACUGAGGAGCGAAAGCGUGGGGAGCGAUCCGG